rfam:Salmo salar isolate Sally breed double haploid chromosome ssa03, whole genome shotgun sequence.
UCCCGUGUGGCUCAGUUGGUAGAGCAUGGUGUUUGCAACGCCAGGGUUAUGGGUUUGAUUCCCACGGGGGAC